UGCUGAGGAAGUUCAGUCCACCACCUUCCCUCCAGACCAGAAAAGAGUCUUAAAGCUUGUUUUACAUGUGUCUUGAGGUACAGAUCAGGCUGAUCUGUACUGAUCUGAAGAUUGAAGAGCUCUGUGGAUGGGUUGGGUUUUUGACAAUUAAAAAGGUCAAUAUUUGCUCAACGUGUGAGGCUUUAACCUGGAAACCGGCUGCAGACAGCAGCGAGAAAAUGAAGAUCCAGGAGAACACCAAGGAGCCAAUUAACGUGGCCGGAGCAUCCGGAUCAGCCGGCGAGACCGGGCCCAGUCCUCCGGGCCUCUAAUUAUAAAGCCUCUCGGCACGGCCUUCGCUACUACACUGUGAGUAAUGGAGCACCAGAUGCAGGAACUCACACUCGACUCACACUCGCUCACACACAGCGAGAGUGCUUAAUCCUCAAUAAAACCACUUUUCUACA